GACGGGGGGGGCAAGUGUUCUUCGGAAUUACUGGGCGUAAAGCGCACGUAGGCGGCUUUGUAAGUUAGAGGUGAAAGCCUGGAGCUCAACUCCAGAAUUGCCUUUAAGACUGCAUCGCUUGAAUCCAGGAGAGGUGAGUGGAAUUCCGAGUGUAGAGGUGAAAUUCGUAGAUAUUCGGAAGAACACCAGUGGCGAAGGCGGCUCACUGGACUGGUAUUGACGCUGAGGUGCGAAAGCGUGGGGAGCAAACAGG
rnacentral:rRNA from 1 species